UACGUAGGCAGCGAGCGUUGUUCGGAGUUACUGGGCGUAAAGGGUGCGUAGGCGGCCGAUUAAGUUUGUCGUGAAAUCUCCCGGCUCAACUGGGAGGGUGCGGCGAAUACUGACCGGCUAGAGUGUGGGAGAGGAGAGUGGAAUUCCUGGUGUAGCGGUGAAAUGCGUAGAUAUCAGGAGGAACACCGGCGGUGUAGACGGCUCUCUGGACCAUAACUGACGCUGAGGCACGAAAGCGUGGGUAGCAAACAGGAUUAGAAACCCCCGUAGUCC
rnacentral:rRNA from 1 species